rnacentral:rRNA from 1 species
UACGGAGGGAGCUAGCGUUGUUCGGAAUUACUGGGCGUAAAGCGCACGUAGGCGGCUUUUUAAGUCAGGGGUGAAAGCCCGGGGCUCAACCUCGGAAUUGCCUUCAAAACUGACGACCUAGAGUUUGGGAGAGGUGUGUGGAACUCCGAGUGUAGAGGUGAAAUUCGUAGAUAUUCGGAAGAACACCAGUGGCGAAGGCGACACACUGGUCCAAUACUGACGCUGAGGCGCGAAAGCGUGGGGAGCAAACAGG